AGUCAAGGCGGAGGGCCGAGGAUCACAAUUGUCUGCCAUGGACUAAUUCCGAUUGGAAGAAAGACUCUCACACUCGCCGAUUUCGUCUCGAUGAACGCAUCUCUUUGUUGUCAUCACCCGAUUCUUUCCCUGAUUUAUAGCCACCCAAAUACUCAAGUGGAUCUUCCACGAGUCUAAUCGAAAAGUCCCCCGGUGGGCUCAAUUCCCUACAAAACGUGGAAAUUCCUCGAUAAUCAAUUGGAUACAAAUACAACACUUCCCGUCCAGUCUGCCAUGCGUUGUCAGGUAAGUUCUGAGGAAAAGUCGUGAAUGAAGCUGCCACUUGUCUCCCGGUCACGAUUUGUGGUCAGAAAAUGUGCCCAUUUUCCGUAUAAAUACUCGGGAGUUUUCCUCAAUUGGCAUAGUCAGUUUGAGAAGUCAACUGAAGCAAUCCAAAUCAAUCCAAAAUGAUGAAGUUCCUGUUCUUCGCCCUCCUCGUCGUCCUGGCCGUUGCCACCGCCUUCGCUGCUCCUGAGCCAGCUCCCCGUCCCUUCGCCGCCCCUCUGCCAGCUCCCCAGCACGGAUAUGGCUAUGGCGGUUAUGGAUACGGCAAGGGCUAUGGAUACUACUAAGCUAAUGACUCCCAAGGAUUCAAUCGGCGCGGUGAUCUUCAGAAUAGCAGUUUUGUCGGCGAAAACUAUCUUGUUGAAUGUUUCAAUGGCAAAAUAAAUCAAAAUUUGCACUAAAAUAA